AUGCCAUCAUCAAGGCACUACCAUUCUGGUAGAAUUUACUCACCAACUGGUUCAUCUGAUCAGUGGACUGGCACAUCAGGGCAAUGGUUUUCAAGAGAUGUGAACGUCCAGAUAUACGCUCUGAGUAGUGGGCCGGAAGAUGCCACAUCAUUCCCAAUACUAUGCUGUCUCUAACACAACUGAAAUGGGGUGCACCACAGAGCAGAUCACUCAUAAUGGGCCACUUACUGAACACUUGUCACCUGGACACAAAUGAGAAAUCCAGGAAAGCAGAAAUGUAAAUGCCUUACCACUAAGACACCAAUAUUGGAAAUCAGGCAGGAAAAUCACUGCUCAGGCAUGGACGCCAAUGUCUACUCCUGGAAAUCCGCUUCUGCUCACUCCAGAAAGCACCGGAGGUGUGACGAGAGCAACCCUCAUUGCUGUGCAUCCCCUGGCAGGAAACACACGCUCAGGUGCAUUUGUUCGUCCGUUUUCUUUGAAAUGCUGUGGAAAGCAGUGUACAGCAGUCCUAGCAAAAGGAGAAUUCAGAAGACGGAGGAGAUUUUGCCCUUCUUCACCCAUGAAGGAUCCUAAUGAUGCCCACAUUCCAGCCAAGAAAGAAGAUCACCAAAUUAUCAGAAAAAUCUUCUCUGGAUUCUUCUGAAGAGCUAAGUGAACACCGCAGUGGAUUUCAGCCACCGUCCCACACCUACAAGAUGUCAAAAGCGCCAAAUCCCAGAGCCUAAUGGGACCUCUGCAGUAGCCAACAUCCCAUAUGCAUAAAAGAACCUUAUAUAGUAGUAUCUCCCCAGCAAAGGGACUGUUCUUGGAAGCCAAACCAUGCUGCUUCUAGAUCCGUAUCCAUUAUCAGCAGUAGAGGAGACAGAGACAGUGCUAGGAGGAGGAAGGACUUAGAGAAAAAGGAGGAGAGCAAUAGAGAAAGGCAUCUGAGUUCCUGUUUAUACCAGUUAUCAGUGAACUUAAUAUACCAAUGAAUUUAAAAUGCACUCGGGGGAAGUUUCCCAUAAAUAGGUUAACUGCAAAAAUAUUCCCACAAGUAGUCAGACUGCCUCCUCUGAGGACAGUGCCUUCAGAAACACUCUUUUUCUGACUAACUUUAGAAACUCUAAAUGCCAGCAACUCUAGCCUGCGGGUCUUCCCCAAGGCCUUCUUACUCUCUUUAGCAUCCUUGAUAAAUAUUUAAAGAACGCUUUCUUAACCUUUCUCUUUGGCUUCUGCAUUCUUGAUACCUUAAUUCUGAAUUGAAAAAGAUCUCUGGUCUAGGACAAUCUUUCUGCCCGUGAGCGUUUGUAACAGAAAGCUCUCCAAGCUAUGCCCAUGGCUUUGCGUUUCCUGGGAAAGGAGGGAGAAAGGAAAAGCAAAUGUUUCAUUCAUCAGUGUCUAAAAGGCCCAACCUGAGCCUCUCAGGAUCUCUGCCUCUUCCAGGGCAAGUCUGCUUGGCCCCAGAGGGAUCUGUCUCCCUCCAACCAGAUGAGAUGCACGGAAUCUAUGGUCCACCAGACAGUACUUAAGGAUGCUGCCUUGCCCAACCUGUGAACAAGCCUCUCUCCAAAACUUUCCUCUCUUGAAUAAAAGUGUG
rnacentral:lncRNA from 1 species